rnacentral:lncRNA from 1 species
AUGCGCAUGAUUCCAAGAGUCACUAGAGGCGUAAUAAUAACCAGUAACGAAUGGAUGAAGCAAGCACUUUUAGAUGGUAUCGAUCAGAGCCAAUCAACCCUUUUCCCCGAUUAUCGUCACUUAAAUCCCACUAGCCGAAAUGGAAUCCGUCAAGUAAGAGAUAAGCCAGAGAUCCAGAUCAUUAGAAUACGUCACCGGUCCGAGACGAGAUGGGCCUUCUCGCGAAAAAGAGUAGGUUAUUCCUAUCACUAG